rnacentral:rRNA from 1 species
AUUGAACGCUGGCGGCAGGCCUAACACAUGCAAGUCGAGCGGAGCGGGGGAGCGGUGAGUAGUACCUCGGAAUCUGCGUGGUUGUGGGGGAUAACGUUCGGAAAGGGACGCACAUACCGCAUCCUAUCACAUGAGUCUAGGUCGGCUUAGCUAGUUGGGGAGGUAAUGGCUAACCAAGGCUACGAUCCGUAACUGGUCUGAGAGGAUGAUCAGUCACACUGGAACUGAGACACGGGCCAGAUUCCUACGGGAGGCAGCAGUGGGGAAUAUUGGACAAUGGGCGAAGGCCUGAUCCAGCCAUGCCGCGUGUGUGAAGAAGGUCUUCGGAUUGUAAAGCACUUUAAGUUGGGAGGCGUUACCGACAGAAUAAGCACCGGCUAACUACGUGCCAGCAGCCGCGGUAAUAC